rnacentral:lncRNA from 1 species
AAAUUCUCACCUAAAGUUGAUACUAAUAUUACAAUAACUCUCUUGUGCCCUAUUUUGGUGUUUUAAACUUCUUUGCUGUACAUUUAAGAAAAUCAGAAUUUCAGUAGACUCCUCGUGCAGUCUGAGGAGGCAGUUUCCUAUCUGGUUUGACUUAAGGGGCUGCAGAAGACAUUCUUAUCCCACAUAUUUCUUCUGCUGAUCAGUCAGCAACUGAAAUUCCAACUAAUGGAUUCCAUUCUUCCAGUUAAGACAUCAUCUCCAGAAAACUGUGCUAGUUGGCAUCCAGCAGUGCCCAAGUAUUAUUUAACCCACUAGAACCUGUGACUGCAUCAGCUUUAUAUCCUGGACCUCAGCCUGGAACAAAGGAGAGCUACACUUGGAUACUAAACACAAGUGGUCUGGAUAGAUUAUGCUGGGAAAAGAAGCCUGGAGCAGGCAGUACAGUGGGAGAACAAGGGAGAGAAUGGAGUUGCAGCAGACUGCUCAGGAAUUGUACAUCACCAGUAGCUUCUGUCUCAGCUAAGUGUGGGAGACUGAUACUGAUGAGCCAUUAACAAUGGUGGAGAUUCUGAAUCACUGAAGCACUUGAUAAAAGAAAUGUCGUGGGUGAUGUGAAAAUCUACAUAUGCCCAUGAGAGUAUAUUGAGUUUGUAAGUGUUGUUGCUUAGUGUGUCACAGAGAAGUUUAUAAGAAACUAUUUUGGAGUAAGAAACAACACAGAAGAACACAGUUUCAGCCUGAAAUGGCUUAUUUAGCCACUGACCAUCAGAAACAAUUACUUUUUACCUUAACCUAGAUUUGUAAUAGCAGGAUGCAUUGAAUUCCUUCAUUGAAGUGAAACCUUAGCAAAUCUUUAAGUAGUACUCUAAAGUGACAAAAGGUGUUUACAUUUACUAAUGUAAAUUUCUUGUGGAGAUAAAGUUUUUAUUCUUCUUGGGUCUCAAGACUGCUCAAGAAGGAACCAUCGUUUGUUCUACACUGCUCUGUUCUAAAUGUUUGUUCCCCCAAUAUUCAUAUGUUGAAAUUCUAACCCCCAAGGAGAUAGUAUUAGGAGGUGGGGCCUUCGGGACAUGAUAAGGUCAUGAGGAUGAAGCCCUCAAGAAUAAGAUUCAUUGCCUUAUAAAGAAAAACCAGAAAGAUCCCUCAUUUCUUCAAUCAUAAGAAGACACAUGAGCAAGAAGACGGCCAGCUAUGAAGCAGGUCGUGGGCCCUCGCCAGACACUGAAUCUGCCAACACUUUGAUCUUGGAUUUCCUAGCCUGCAGAACUG